UGCGUAGGCGGUAGGGCAAGUCCGAGGUGGAAUCCUAUGGCUUAACCAUAGAAUUGCCUUGGAAACUGCUUUACUUGAGUCAGUGAGGGGAGGGCGGAAUUCCUGGUGUAGCGGUGAAAUGCGUAGAUAUCAGGAGGAGGGCCAGUGGCGAAGGCGGCCCUCUGGCACUGCACUGACGCUGAGGCGCGAAAGCGUGGGGAGCAAACAGGAUUAGAUACCCUGGUAGUCC
rnacentral:rRNA from 1 species